GAAUCAACAGAAAAUACAUAGAAUGUGCUUGGACAUUUGCAGAAUUUAAUCAGAAGAACAGUAUCAUAAAUUAUUUUUAUUUCUUGGUAAAUUUUAACAUGGAAAAGUUUACCGAACAACAACAACAACAACAAAGAAAGAAAGUUUCCUGUCAAAGGGAUCAUGGAAAGUGAAGAGCCUCAGCUUGGAAGUGGGUUUCCAGGAGGAACUAAAUGGUGGAAAGAGGAAUAUCACUAGAAUUAUUCUUUGGCUCGUUGAAUGGGUGGAUUUCCCGGGCUUUAUAUCACAGCCUCAUCAUUUUCACCUUCACCAAUAGUGCUUGUUUUGUAUGAUAGAAAUGCUUUCACCUGCAAUAACCAAUGGCUUAAUCAAAGAAGGAUUCAUUUUUCCUUGUGUAACAAGAAAGGUGAAGUAUUGCAUCACAGACCUAUCCCCAAGAUGGAGACUGAAUCAACUGUUCUUGAAAUCCAGCCUCCUCCUCCAAUCUGCUACCCAAAAAAGAAUAAGGGUUUUGUUAGUAAAGAAAAGGGAAUACUUGAAUAAGCAACUGUAGUUUUUGAAUAUAUGUUAAUACCUAUAGGCAAACUCUUCAAUUGUAUGGCUCUUUCUUAAAUGAAUAUAUUCUUGGUCAUUUAACAGUAGAAAUGUAUGCACUUUGAAUUAUUUUCUCAGUGUAGGACAUAGACUUGUACUCUCUUACUGAUUAAGCCACUUGUAGGGUAAGGAAAAAUGUCAGGCUUUUCUGCCCUCCCGCCAUCAGGAUAGAUGAUGGAUCCUUGUGGUCCUGAAUGCAUGCCUGAUAGCGGGCACCUGGAAUAGGGUGUGGGCCUAGGUAGAUGGGAUUCACCUGGGCUAAGACUGCUUUUAAGGGCGGCAUCACGGGGACGCCAGCAGCAGCAGAAGCUGAAAGAGAAGCUGAGAAAGAAGUAGCAGAAGCCAAGAGAGGCAGAGAACACCGGAGAGCCCAGAUAGA